AUUGAACGCUGGCGGCAGGCCUAACACAUGCAAGUCGAGCGGUAGCACAGAGAGCUUGCUCUCGGGUGACGAGCGGCGGACGGGUGAGUAAUGUCUGGGAAACUGCCUGAUGGAGGGGGAUAACUACUGGAAACGGUAGCUAAUACCGCAUAAUGUCGCAAGACCAAAGUGGGGGACCUUCGGGCCUCAUGCCAUCAGAUGUGCCCAGAUGGGAUUAGCUAGUAGGUGGGGUAACGGCUCACCUAGGCGACGAUCCCUAGCUGGUCUGAGAGGAUGACCAGCCACACUGGAACUGAGACACGGUCCAGACUCCUACGGGAGGCAGCAGUGGGGAAUAUUGCACAAUGGGCGCAAGCCUGAUGCAGCCAUGCCGCGUGUGUGAAGAAGGCCUUCGGGUUGUAAAGCACUUUCAGCGGGGAGGAAGGCGUUAAGGUUAAUAACCUUGGCGAUUGACGUUACCCGCAGAAGAAGCACCGGCUAACUCCGUGCCAGCAGCCGCGGUAAUACGGAGGGUGCAAGCGUUAAUCGGAAUUACUGGGCGUAAAGCGCACGCAGGCGGUCUGUCAAGUCGGAUGUGAAAUCCCCGGGCUCAACCUGGGAACUGCAUUCGAAACUGGCAGGCUAGAGUCUUGUAGAGGGGGGUAGAAUUCCAGGUGUAGCGGUGAAAUGCGUAGAGAUCUGGAGGAAUACCGGUGGCGAAGGCGGCCCCCUGGACAAAGACUGACGCUCAGGUGCGAAAGCGUGGGGAGCAAACAGGAUUAGAUACCCUGGUAGUCCACGCCGUAAACGAUGUCGAUUUGGAGGUUGUGCCCUUGAGGCGUGGCUUCCGGAGCUAACGCGUUAAAUCGACCGCCUGGGGAGUACGGCCGCAAGGUUAAAACUCAAAUGAAUUGACGGGGGCCCGCACAAGCGGUGGAGCAUGUGGUUUAAUUCGAUGCAACGCGAAGAACCUUACCUGGUCUUGACAUCCACAGAACUUUCCAGAGAUGGAUUGGUGCCUUCGGGAACUGUGAGACAGGUGCUGCAUGGCUGUCGUCAGCUCGUGUUGUGAAAUGUUGGGUUAAGUCCCGCAACGAGCGCAACCCUUAUCCUUUGUUGCCAGCGGUUAGGCCGGGAACUCAAAGGAGACUGCCAGUGAUAAACUGGAGGAAGAUGGGGAUGACGUCAAGUCAUCAUGGCCCUUACGACCAGGGCUACACACGUGCUACAAUGGCAUAUACAAAGAGAAGCGACCUCGCGAGAGCAAGCGGACCUCAUAAAGUAUGUCGUAGUCCGGAUUGGAGUCUGCAACUCGACUCCAUGAAGUCGGAAUCGCUAGUAAUCGUAGAUCAGAAUGCUACGGUGAAUACGUUCCCGGGCCUUGUACACACCGCCCGUCACACCAUGGGAGUGGGUUGCAAAAGAAGUAGGUAGCUUAACCUUCGGGAGGGCGCUUACCACUUUGUGAUUCAUGACUGGGGUGAAGUC
rnacentral:rRNA from 1 species